CAUACCCAUUAUACCUUCCUUUAUUCUGCCGUAGGAAAAUCAAAACAAACGCAAAUCGUUUAUUCCUCUUCUCCCUUUCCCCCUUUCGCAAUUCAAGUCCAAACCUAAUCAGAAGUUUUCGAUCAGCGUUGAUUCGGAGUUAUGUCGGUUGCACAGCCUCAUCAGCCACAAGGUGGUCAUUUUCGCACAAAUGGUAGACAAACUUAUGGUAGAAACAGCAGAGCAGGCAUGAGAGCCCCAGCUGCUGCCGCUACUAAUUACAACUGUUACUACAAUAGUCAUCCAAACUUUUAUCCCAUGAAUCCUGGUCUACUCGGUGAUUUUUCUCAAGGCGUAAUGCUGGAUUGUCCCAAUUAUGAUGUGGUCUGUCUUGAUGCUUUGCCUUCAAAGAGGAGAAAGGUCUCACAUCCGUCUUGUGCAAAUGCUGGGAGAAACCAUUCACAACAAACAAUGCAACAAAAUGCUCUUACAAAUAAUGCUGAAUGGUGGGAACACGUACCUCAGUUUGUUAGAACCUUCUGCAAUGCCCCUUUAGUCAGUGAGAACCAUUCAGACAUUGUUGCUGCUCCAAGGUCUGAUAACGCCAAUGCACAUGCUUCAACGACCUCCAAAAGGAAUAGGUCUGAUUUUGAGGAUGAUGCCGCAGCUGUUUUCAUGUCCAGAGAUGAGAUAGAGAGGUGUUCUCCUUCCAGGAAAGAUGGCAUAGACGUGUUACAAGAGACACAUCUACGAUAUUCAUAUUGUGCAUUCCUUCAAAAUCUUGGAUUUCAGCUUGAUUUGCCACAAACCACUAUUGGAACUGCCAUGGUUCUGUGUCAUCGUUUCUUUCUUCGCCGUUCCCAUGCAUAUCAUGAUAGAUUUCUAAUAGCUGUUGCUGCACUUUUCCUUGCCUCGAAGUCUGAGGAGACAGCACGUCCUCUCAAUGAUGUAUUAAGAGUAUCAUGUGAAAGUUUGCACAGGCAGGAGCUAGCGCUUCUCUACAUGCCAAUUGAUUAUUUUGAACAAUACCGUGAGCGAAUACUGGAGGCUGAACAGUUGAUUCUAACUACGUUAAACUUUGAGCUAGAGGUGCAGCAUCCAUACGAAUCUCUGACAUCCACUCUUCAUAAGUUAGGCUUUUCGCAACCUGUUUUGGUGAAUCUAGCCUUGUGCUUGGUCAGCGAAGGGGUCUAUAGGCGAUUAGCAUGCUCACCAUAUGAUAUUAAUAGCUGGUGGUUGAUUUGCUGUUCAUCAAAUGUUUUGUUUUCAUCUGAAGUGAACUAGAGAUACCUUGUCGAUGCUUUUCCAUGCUGGCAUGUUAAUGACAUUGUCACUGGCUUUAGAAGAUAGUUCAUGGAUGAAUUGAACUAAGUUAACAAUUGGAUCUUUCUGCAUUUGGAUAUCUCUGUGGUUCAUGGCUGUGGAAUAUGCCAAGGUUUUAGCUGAGCUAUUUCAGGCUGUGGAUUAACUGUCUUCUUGUUGACGAUGACAGUCUAGCUGUGCACCAUAAGAGAACUGGUUUUCUUUCCCUCUCUCUAAAAGCAUUUGCUCCUAACAAUGAAUUGACUUUAACCUCUCCACCUUAAGAACUUCCUGGAACUUGGACACCCUUGUUUAUCUUUUCUCUCUGUGACUAAUUCGAGCUUCACAAUUCCAUUUUCAUAUGGCUUCCGAUUCUUGAUAUUUAACCUUUCUUCUGGGAAGUUUGGGCAAUCCAUUGUUUAUCCUUUAUCUAACUGUCUAUCCACACGAGAUGGAAACAGGAUCUGACAGCCGCUUGAUAAGAUUUGGGGUUCCCUUGACAUUAUGUUGGAAUUUGAAAAAGUGAGGAAGGGGGGAAUAAUUUAAUUACUAUCAGUGCAUUGCACGAGGAGCAUCUUGUCAUCUUCCUUCGGCAAUUUACUAAGUUUUAGUCAUUAGUUCUUCUCAGCAUGUUUUUGUUCUUCAAAGAUCAUACACAUUACGGAAGCAAGCUUUAUAAGUCUUGGAUGGGUGUAGAUAUAUGACCCUCCUCCCUCCAUGGGACAAAUAUAUAAUAUAAGAAAGGAAUAAUCACAUGGUGAAAUGAUAAAAUUGCUUUCAAAGUACAUGUAGGGGCAAGGACUACCUGAAUUUCUUUUGGUUUUUUAAUUUGAGUUCUUAUAUGCUUAUCUAUAGGUCUUAUAUAUGGUAAAUAUUUAUUUUAUCUAAUCUUGUAGAUGUGGCUAGAGAGUAAGUGAAAGAAAUGCUAAAAUGUUGUUGUCUUGGAUGCUGUUACAUUAUUCCUAUCCAUCAUCUUUGAUUUGUACACUGCAGUGUGCUUUUAGUGUUUUAGGUAGAGAUCUUACUUGGGAUUGGGAUGUAAAAGUUAGUUGCCUCCAGGUUUUCAAUAUAUGCUAAUGCUUAAGUUGAUAGGUACCUAUAUAUGUAAGUGAGUUAUGGAAGGUAGUGUUUGGAGAAUAUUUAACUUGAAACUUUGCAACAUUAACAAGUCACUGUUCUUUACACUCCUUGAUGACUAUUCUUACAUGUUUAGAAUCUGUUCACAAAUCAUGUUUAAAUUGUUAAUUUUUUUUCUUUUUUUUUGAGAGUCCAUUAAUACAACUUUUAUAAUGAUUUGUCGAUACCUUCCUGUGAUUGUUGUAUUUACAGUAUAAUAAUUGAACUUUCUCCCUAUUUCACAAAGAACUUUCUUGAAAAAAGUUCAAUCAUCAAUGGUUUUUUAUAGUCAAAAUAUCAACUUUGGUUGCUCGGCUAGUUUACAAAAGCAUGGUUAUUGGAUGUAUAUUUCAAGAUUUCAGUUCAGCCUUUUCUUUUCUUUCCUUUCUCUUUAUCUGUGUAAAGAAUAGUAAAUUCUACUAAGAAACUAUUACGGGGAAGCAGCCACUGCUGCUGGACUAGCCAUUGCUGCAUGUCUAGAUCUGGCUGGCAAAGAAGGCUGCCCCUUACACAGGCCUGAUCGUGGCCCAAAUGUUGUGGUUGUCUUAAUAAUUAUGUUGCGAAAAAUGUAAUUUUGGCUCUGUAAGUGUCAUUCAUUAUUAUUUUGGUUUGUAAGUGAUACCCCUUAUUAUUUAGUCAUUAAUUGCCAAUGUUAUUAGAUCAUCACAAAGUACAAACUAAGAAGUUUCUUCUAAAAUUGAUUUGUUAUUUCUUUUCUUCGGAAGAUGUAAAACCAUUAAAUUUAUGAUUACAUGAUUUUUUCAUUGUUGAAAGCUGCAUGUAUAUAUUGUGUAAAUGGCAAAAAUAAAUGAACAAUUAUAUUUUAAGUUCACAGAUACAUGCAAUUUACAAGCAGUUUGAUAUUCAACUUUUGAUGAGAUUUGGCAUUUGGCUAUGUAGCAGCUGUUACCGACUCACUUUUGUACAUGCAUUAUGAUAUCCAAGUUUUAAGGUGGUUGGAAUCAGUCAAUGAAGUUUAGCUGGCAUGCUGUCUAUUCUGCUAUUCUACAGCCCGUUUAAAUCAGUAUGGUUUUGCUAUAGUAUGGCAGCAGAGGGGGGCAGGGGACAUGAAGUUGAUAUAAUGUGUAGUCAGAUGUAACAUGUUUUGUAUAUUAGGGUAUUCUACCAACACACUGCAGGCAAAUCUUGGGUUAUUCCAUCUCGGUUGCUGCUUGCCUAGUUGCAUAAGACUAUGUUGGUUCAAUCGUUGGUGUUUUUUGAAAUGGCUUAGGAGUUCUCUAUGGCUUCAGUUCAAACCUCAUCAGAUAGCUGCCGGUGCUGCCUACCUUGCUACGAAAUUUUUAAAUAUGAAUCUUUCUUCGUGCCAUGAUAUCUGGCAUGAAUUCAGAACGUCCCCUUCUGUG